CCCCUCUCAGGCUUGUACCUGGAGAGUUUCCAGUACUCUACCAGUCUCGACUACGGGAGGGAGAGUGAAGCAGAGGCCUACCAAUUCCAUUCCUAGCUGGGGCAGUGGCUAGCGAAUAGAAGACAAUCCGCUACAAGU
rfam:Ornithorhynchus anatinus chromosome 4, whole genome shotgun sequence.